rnacentral:lncRNA from 1 species
GUUGGGUUCGAUCAGAAGGCAGGGGGCGACUUCAAGCUCCCCAAAACCCUAGUUCACAUCAAAAACCACCAAUUGAAGGAUCAAAUCGAGUCCAAAACGAAAAUCGAGCAUAUAUUCGUGAUCCCCAUUGAAAGGAGAUCAUAAGAAAUUAUGCCCGCAAGUUUGUCGCCUAACGAGCUAGGUGGAGGCUUGGAAAAGAAGCGGUCAAACGAAUCAAGCACGAGAAGAAAACGUAUUCGGAUGCGAGGUAAGUAGAGCUUACGCCCCUUUACAUUAUUUGCAAAGUUACUUAAUUUCAAGUAAUGAUAUGAAUGCUACUAAGUUGUUGGUAUAUGAUAUUCCGACGCGAUUCAAUGAGAGUUGGAAUGAGGGGAAAAUGGUAAAUUAGUCAUGUAAUGACGAAUAAUUAAAAACGGUUUUAAGUAAAACAAGUUCAAAGAAAACCGGGAUAGGUAAAAGGGGUGAAAUGGUAAUUAAAUACCAUCUCAACACGGACAAAUGGUCAAUUAGACUAAAUGGGUCAAAUGGUGUGGAUAACACCAUUUGGCAAUAACAAUUGACAAUCGCUUGUUGAGUUUUGUGAUUUCAGGAAAUAACAUGUGUUGCGUUGCUUUAAUUAGAAAAUUUAAAGCAAGAAGUAUGUAAACGGGUCAAUACUAUGAUCCGAGCCAGGUACGCAUACGUGAAUUUAUAGUUAAAAGUGCAAGAAGGUCUAACAUCUAGCCGAAAUCCUUCAUUUCAAAAUGAAGGACUAAAUGUGACCAAAGAGCCCUUAAUAGGUAAACAAUGUAAACGACCCUUAGAGGUUGCCUAGAAACUUAUAUUAUGAGUUUGAAACCCUUAGAUGUGUAUAAAAGUUCUAGGCAAAAACAAUUGCGGGUCGAACGCCUAGAAAUAGUUAAUUGCGGAAAAAUGACCAACCGAUAGGUAAAAUUGGGAAAAAGGGGUUCAUAUGUUAAAUCCACCACAAAAUAGUUGUGGUGGAAUAUUUCUAGUUAAUUAGACAUGGAAAAUAUUGUAGUAUCAAAAGAAAAGCACAAGUUCUAGACCAAAAUGCGUAAAUACCCUUAACGGGUCGAAAUAGAAGUAUUAGCAAAACGAGUUAAGAAUGUGUAAUAACCCGUGAUUUGAACCUUGUACAAUAGGAAUUAAUCAUAAUAUUAUGUUUACGAAAGAAACAAGGGCCACAAUCAAGUUUGUUAGAUGAAUUCAUGAACGGGUCAAAAUUUGGGUAAAAAUGGUAAUAAGCCGAAGACUUAAAAGUCUUAAAUUUUUGUUAAUCCGGAUGUCGGAUUUUAACUCCAUAUGAUGGAGAAUUAAAUUAAGGACACGUAGGAAAAAGAAUCGUGUAAAUCGGAUUAAAAACGAGAGAGUUAUGUCCGUUUCGGUAAGAACUAAUGAAAAAUAGACGUGCAGAGUUGACACGGGCGGGUGACUUUUUGACACGGCCGGGUGGCUGGGCUGUGAAAAAUAUAUGUUAACUGACACGGCCGGGUGACUUUUUGACACGGCCGGGUGAAGGGGCUGAAAACAAAACAAAAAUAAUUUCUUGUUUUGUUACGUUAAGCACGGAACUUGUUUAUACUCGAUUAUUAAAGUGUCAAAACUAAUUAUUUACAUGGUUUUGACCGUAGGUGAAGAUGGGAUAAGCGGUUUGAAAGAUACGAAAGUUUUCGUGCAAAUAAACGGCAAAAUAGGAAAGCUGGAAUGUAGGGGCCACCGUAACUUACGGUGCCACCGUAAGUUACGGUGGAGCUGAAGGCUUUACGGCAGCCCCCUACUGAUUUACGGUAGGGGCAUGUCACACCAGGGGCCACCGUAACUUACGGUGCCACCGUAAGUUACGGUGGAGGCCAGUUGGAAAUCCAUGUUUUGAGAUCAAAAGUUUAACGUUGGGAUUCUUUUUCCUUCCUUUAUUAUUACCGGAUUUGUUUAGACUUAUCACAUUUCCCGUAUGACUAAAGCAUUUCAUGUUGAUGAAAUGUAGGUUCUUUUUGGAUGCCGGAAGACGAUCAAGCUCAUCGAAGGACCGAACACGAUAAAGAUACAUGCUUCCGCACAUUUCCUCGUCAUAAAUUUUUAAACGACAAACUCGAUCACUUAUGUUGAAUAACUUAUGAUUUGUAAAAGUUUUGAUAAACUCGUAUUUUC